AAACUAUAUCUGUGACGUUACCUACAGAAGAAGGACCGGCUAACUCCGUGCCAGCAGCCGCGGUAAUACGGAGGGUCCGAGCGUUAAUCGGAAUUACUGGGCGUAAAGCGUGCGCAGGCGGUUUGUUAAGCGAGAUGUGAAAGCCCUGGGCUCAACCUAGGAAUAGCAUUUCGAACUGGCGAACUAGAGUCUUGUAGAGGGGGGUAGAAUUCCAGGUGUAGCGGUGAAAUGCGUAGAGAUCUGGAGGAAUACCGGUGGCGAAGGCGGCCCCCUGGACAAAGACUGACGCUCAUGCACGAAAGCGUGGGGAGCAAACAGGAUUAGAUACCCUGGUAGUCCACGCCGUAAACGAUGUCUACUCGGAGUUUGGUGUCUUGAACACUGGGCUCUCAAGCUAACGCAUUAAGUAGACCGCCUGGGGAGUACGGCCGCAAGGUUAAAACUCAAAUGAAUUGACGGGGCCCCC
rnacentral:rRNA from 1 species